CUGUAAAUCUUCUUUAAUCAAGAUGAGACUAACAUCAUCCUGAUACUAAGACUCCGUGUCGUCCCCCACCAAGGGAUGCUGGAGAAAGAACGAAGGACAAAUAGAGCAGAAGAACUGCUGUUGUAGCUGGCAAGGCUGCGUCACUUCUCCACGGGGCACAUUCCAGCCUUCUCAGCUCCUGCCUCAGGUUUAAACCAGUAGAGCUGACUGUGGACUGAAACCUCUGAAUCCAUGAGCAAACCUUUCCUGUUGAAACUCUUCUCUUGGGUAUUUUCUUACAAUGCUGGAAAGCCAACACACUCAACUACUAAUUGUUCAACACACCAGGGAUGUGUUCUACAUGCCUGGUCCCAUUGCAAGGACUUUCACACGAUUUCUUAUGUAGUCCUGCCAGAUAUCCUGCAAGGUGGUUUGGAUGAAGAAAUCAUCACAGAGACAUGCUGAGCACCCUCCAAAGACCUCAGGACUGAGGAAAGGCAGGAUCCGGAUUCUUGACUCCAAAGCCUUUAACUGUCAUACUUCCCUGACAGUGUUGGGGAUUUAAAAACCAGUUCCCCUGCA